UGGAAACACUCACUUCAUUAUGGAACAAAGAGCAGGCAAGUGAUGCAGGGAAUGAAUUAUCUGGAUCAAAUAUUGUUGGUCUUAUUCAAACCCUAAUUAAAAACCAAGAUCAGAGGCAGAAUUUCUUUCAGGAUAUUUUCCCGGCAAAAU